rnacentral:ncRNA from 1 species
UGCCCGAUUCGAAGUGAGAACAGGCCGAUCGUAAAGACGCCGUGAAUCCAUCCUUGGAGGCUCGAGCCGUGCAAUCCCUGGCGCGGACGCUUU